GGAUAUCUAGUAGAAUUAUCUGGAAAGAUAAACCAUAGAAGGUAAAGGUCCUGUAUACGAAAGAUAGAAUAAAGUAGCAUAAAAGAGUACCAUCGAACACGUGGAAUUCGGUGGGAAUAUAGGGGGACCACCCCCUAAGGCUAAAUACUACCAUAUGACCGAUAGUGAAGAGUACCGUGAGGGAAAGGUGAAAAGAACCCCGAGAGGGGAGUGAAAUAGAAUCUGAAACCUUGUGCUUACAAUCAGUGGAAGCAGGCAGGAUCUGUGACCACGUACUUUUUGUAGAACGGGCCAGCGAGUUAUGGUAUAAGGCGAGGUUAAGUAAUUAAGUUACGAAGCCGUAGGGAAACCGAGUGUGAAUAGCGCGAGAGUCUUAUGCUAUAGACCCGAAACUGGGUGAUCUAUCCAUGGUCAGGGUGAAGUUGAAGUAAAAUUCAAUGGAGGCCCGAACCGGGUAUCGUUUAAAAGAUAUCGGAUGAACUGUGGAUAGGGGUGAAAAGCCAAUCGAACUCAGAGAUAGCUGGUUCUCCUCGAAAUAGCUUUAGGGCUAGCGUUGAUUUGAGAUUACUGGAGGUAGAGCACUGAAUGGUCGCGGGGCGUUUGACGUUACCAAGAUCUAUCAAACUCCGAAUACCAGAUAAUUAUAAUCAGCAGUCAGAACGUGAGGGAUAAGCUUCACGCUCAAAAGGGAAACAGCCCAGACCGUCAGCUAAGGUCCCCAAAUCAUGUUAAGUGGGAAAGGAUGUGAUUCUACUCAGACAACUAGGAUGUUGGCUUAGAAGCAGCCAUACAUUUAAAGAGUGCGUAAUAGCUCACUAGUCAAGUGGAGUUGCGCCGAAGAUAAACGGGGCUAAACAUGAUACCGAAGCUACGGAAUUUAGAGACAAGAAGUAAAAGAUUUAAGGAAAGUAAGUUUAAUCAGAAAUAUAAAAAGAAAAGACGAAAUUAAAAUUUCAUACGUCAGACAUCAGAAAGAUUAUUCCCGUAUGUAAAUACGAAAAUCAAAGAUGAAAAAAGUAUAAGAAACAAUUUCAAAAGAAGGAUUAAAUAAACAGAACUUAGAAAAUUUACUUCUCGUCUCUAGAUUGGUAGAGGAGCAUUGUGUACACGUUGAAGCUGAAUCGAAAGAUAGGUGGAGAGUACACAAGAGAGAAUGCUGGCAUGAGUAGCGAGAAGGUGAGUGAGAAUCUCACCCGUCAAAAACCUAAGGUUUCCUGAGCAAGGCUCGUCCUCUCAGGGUUAGUCGGGACCUAAGCUAAGGCUGAAAAGCGUAGGCGAUGGACAACAGGUUGAAAUUCCUGUACUGCUAAUGAUCGUUAUAAGAGAUGUGUUGACGCAGAAGGUUAACUUAAGCACACGAAUGGAAAGGUGUGUCUAAGCACAAAGUUAGGCUCCGGAGGCAAAUCCCCGGAGUAACGAUGAAGUGUGAUGGGGAUCGAAAUAUAAGUAGAGAAGUAAGUGACACCAAGCUGCCGAGAAAAGACACUAUCGAGAUCAAAAGCACCCGUACCGCAAACCGACACAGGUAGGUAGGAAGAGAAUUCUAAGACGCGCGGAAGAACCAUUGUUAAGGAACUCGGCAAAAUGACCCCGUAACUUCGGGAGAAGGGGUGCCCUCAUAAGAGGGCCGCAGUGAAUUGGCCCAAGCGACUGUUUACCAAAAACACAAGUAUCUGCUAAAUCGUAAGACGAAGUAUAGGUGCUGACACCUGCCCGGUGCUGGAAGGUCAAGGGGAAGGCUUAGCGCAAGCGAAGGCUAGAACUUAAGCCCCAGUAAACGGCGGCCGUAACUAUAACGGUCCUAAGGUAGCGAAAUUCCUUGUCGGGUAAGUUCCGACCCGCACGAAAGGUGUAACGAUUUGGGCACUGUCUCAACAAUGGAUCCGGUGAAAUUGUAUUAGUUGUGAAGAUGCAACUUACCCACGCUAGGACGGAAAGACCCCGUGGAGCUUUACUGUAGAUUGAUAUUGGAUUUUGAGGUUUAAUGUAGAGGAUAUGUGGGAGACAGAGAAUCAGUGGCGCCAGUUGCUGAGGAGUCGCCGUUGGAAUACCACACUUUAAGCUUUAAGGUUCUAACCAU
rnacentral:rRNA from 1 species